rnacentral:rRNA from 1 species
GUCGCAGUACUUUGACUGUGCAAAGGUAGCAUAAUCAUUUGGCUUUUAAUUGGAGUCUAGCAUAAAAGGAUUAACGUAUAGAAGCUGUAUCUAAUUUUAAAUUUAUUUAAUUUAAUUAUAAGGUGAAAAUACCUUAGUGAAGAAAAGCAGACGAGAAGACCCUAAGAAUUUUAAGAAAAUCACAAAUAAAAAUAUGUGUGGCGAUUUUUGUUGGGGCAACAUUUUUUCAUUUAAUAAAAACUAUUAUAGCUAACACAACGAAUAAGUUUAAUAAUGUAUAAAUUACCUUAGGGAUAACAGCAUAAUUUUUUAUAAAGAUUGUGACCUCGAUGUUGGACUAGGAACUAUUAAGGCUAGUCGU